rnacentral:rRNA from 1 species
CCUACGGGUGGCAGCAGUGGGGAAUAUUGCACAAUGGGGGAAACCCUGAUGCAGCAACGCCGCGUGAGUGAAGAAGGUUUUCGGAUUGUAAAGCUCUGUUAGCAGGGAAGAGGAAGGACGGUACCUGCAGAGGAAGCAACGGCUAACUACGUGCAAGCAGCAGCGGUAAUACGGAGGUGGCAAGCGUUGUUCGGAAUAACUGGGCGUAAAGGAUGCGUAGGCGGUUAAACAAGUUAUAUGUUAAAUAUAUAGGCUUAACCUGUAGAAAGCAUAUAAAACUGUUUAACUAGAGUGCAGGAGCGGUCAGUGGCAUUCCUAGUGUAGCGGUGAAAUUCGUAGAGAUUAGGAAGAACCCCAGUGGCGAAGGCGACUUUCUGGACUGUACCUGACGCUGAGGCCUG